rnacentral:rRNA from 1 species
UUACAGAGACAAACGGGGGCAUUUGUAUGGUCCCGUGAGAGGUGAAAUUCUUGGACCGUGGCCAGACAAACUACAGCGAAAGCAUUUGCCAAGAAUGUUUUUAUUAAUCAAGAACGAAAGUCAGAGGUUCGAAGGCGAUCAGAUACCGCCCUAGUUCUGACCGUAAACGAUGCCAACUAGCGAUCCGCCGAUGGAAAUUAUAUUGCCUUGGUGGGGAGCUUCCCGGAAACGAAAGUCUUCCGGUUCCGGGGGAAGUAUGGUUGCAAAGCUGAAACUUAAAGGAAUUGACGGAAGGGCACCACCAGGAGUGGAGCCUGCGGCUUAAUUUGACUCAACACGGGGAAACUCACCCGGCCCGGACACUGUGAGGAUUGACAGAUUGAUAGCUUUUUCAUGAUUCAGUGGAUGGUGGUGCAUGGCCGUUCUUAGUUCGUGGAGUGAUUUGUCUGGUUUAUUCCGAUAACGAGCGAGACUCUAACCUACUAAAUAGUUGGUACAUACUCUUAGUGUAUACAGCUUCUUAGAGGGAUUUGCGGCGUUCAGCCGAAAGAAAUUGAGCAAUAACAGGUCUGUGAUGCCCUUAGAUGUCCGGGGCUGCACGCGCGCUACACUGGCAAAAUCAACGUGCUUGUCCUACCCUGAAAGGGGCGGGUAAACCAUUGAAAAUUUGCCGUGAUUGGGAUCGGAAAUUGCAAUUAUUUUCCGUGAACGAGGAAUUCCAAGUAAGUGCGAGUCAUCAGCUCGCGUUGAUUACGUCCCUGCCCUUUGUACACACCGCCCGUCGCUGCCCGGGACUGAGCCAUUUCGAGAAAUUUGGGGACCGUUGAUUUAAUUUUUCUAAAUUACUUUGAUGGAAACCAUUUAUCAGGGGGG